UGCGGCAGAAGGACAGCGGCCUACCGACCCUCUUGCAAUGCCGUUCUUGAUGUAGUUUUAUGGAAAUAUUUUCAGUUACAGUACUCACUAGUUACCGACUUAAUAACCCUUAAUUGCGCUGCAUGCUGUCGAGUGACGAGUAUGUUUCGACGUCCUCUAAGCAAAGAAUAUUACGAGUUAAACUUAUACUUAUUAAAUCAAAGGUGGCAUUUAAAAGAAACACGAAAAUGACGUCACGCAAGCCAAUACCUGAAACCGGAGAUGAUCGCUCGUUCUCCUUCACCUCUGACAUCCGCCCACUAACCCAUCCCAACCCCACCACCGUCAACUCCAGCCGGAGGGAUGGAUCCUGGAAGGGCCCCAGAAACAGGCGGUUCUGACAAAGGGGAAUGGUUUUGGAGAGGAACAAUAUAUAAAUUUUGGAGUUGGUGUUGACUAAUUACUGUCUUGACUAUGCCUAUCUGUUAUGGCUAAACUAAUGUUGCUGUUAGAUUACCGAGGGUUAUCUGAGUUAUUUGGACUUUGAGUUAACAUUCCAUUUAAUCAUUCUGUUAAGAAUCUGAGUUAUUCAGUUAAUACUUUGCUUUUAAAUAAAUGCAUAUUUUUGUAAUUCUCAACUCUGAUUUGAUGACCUAGAUAAUGGAGAGAGAGAGAGCUGUUGCCAGUCGAGAGGGAGAGAGAAAGUAUUGCCAAUUGCCAGCCACCUGCUGCUCUGGCCUAUCGCUACCAAAAUGAAUAACGAGAUAAUUGUCAUCUCGUUAUCAGUGGUGGCAGCUGGUGUUUGAACGGAAAAAGCCUUUUGUGAGAUUAAUAGCAGCUAUAAGAUGCUGUUUUCAGAGUCUGGUUGUGGGAAUGUGUUAGAUUUCAGUUGGUAAGUGACAGGGGAUGAGAAUUAUUUAUCCGUGGGCUCUGGUACUAAGAAGAAAUUUUUUUAUUAGGGUCAGCAUUUCUGCCCAUGGUGAGAUACCUCGAGGGUGUCGGUUGAUCAGUGAGACUUCUGAGUGCGCAUUGCCAAGUGUUUUCUUGCUCGUAAUACCUAGUCGUUCAAAUAUGGGUGUGUAUUCGCGUGUUUGUAAUUGCGCAGAUUCUGGGAUGGUCUUUUCCAUUGUAGUUAGAAAUUAGUUCAUUGGUCAUAUUAAUGGGGUUAAUUGGGAGUCGUUCAACUAGUGUUUCUUGGAAUUUUUUUGAGGUCAUUAUUUGACAGUAGUUGUCUGGGGUUAAUUCAUCUUUAAUUGACCGAUGACUCACUGACAUACUGAAACACCAUAAACAUCGUUCCCCAACGCCAGCAAGACGCCCACCAGCCAUUGCAGAGAUGUUGCUGUUGUUUGCCCACAUGCAAGAGUUUCUACGAGUCUACGGGGUUCUACGCCGCUUUUGGACUACGGGAGUCAUCAGUUAUCUUCCGCAGGGAGACGUUUCGCCUUGCUACAACAUGUUUCGCGAGUCUGUGCAGUUGCAGCUGCAGAAAAAAAGGGAGAUUCGAAAAUUUAAGAUGGAAAAAAGGUUCUACACCCAAUUGUUAUUAUAGCCCUGGUAUAGGUUUUUUGAGAUAAUAUUAUAGACAUUGUACUGCCAGAGACAUGCAGUUAUUACUAUAUUAUGUGUUUAAUGAGCUGGCCAAUGUGUUUUUUUAUAUAUAUGAGCUGUUUUAUGUGACCUGUGGUUAGGCUGGUGCUAGCUAUAAUGGUAGCUGAGCUAUCUGUAACAUAAAGAGGGAGAUUUGCUAUGAGAUAUUUUAAAUAAUAUAAUAUGAUAUGAUAUGUAUGAGACAUCAUUGAAUGUCACGUGCUUUGACAUUCCUCAGAAAUUGGGAAUCGUCGAUUUUAGCUUCCCAUGGAGACAGAGAACAUCUCAGCUUAGAAAAUGCUGAUAGGUCUUUUGGUGGUGUGAUAUUAAAAUCCUUACCUAGGCAGGUCAACGCUCGUCUGUCGUUAUGGGCAUUUGUCAAAGGUGCCUUUGAGAACUGGAUAUAAGUGGUUUCUGGGCGUGAACAGUGUGUGCGAUUUCGUGCAUUCAUACGAACCAUGUCCGUACAUAAUAGCAAUGUAACUAAACCAUAGAGAUUGUUGUGGGAGUCAGGCGAAGCCAUGGAGGCUUUUACCUUUUGUGAAAGUGCUUGGAGAUUCUAGGCUGAAAUGGGUAAGAUUUACUGUGCUUUGGCCAAAGGUGUGGCUUGACUGUAUUUUGAUAUUUUGUAAAAGAUGUUCUAUUUCAUUUAAUCUUUUGACUUUUUAUUUUGCAAUUGUGUGUGUUUAUCAGUUUGUUCUCCUGUCUUUUUAACAGGCGGUUCUGACAAAGGGGAAUGGUUUUGGAGAGGAACAAUAUAUAAAUUUUGGAGUUGGUGUUGACUAAUUACUGUCUUGACUAUGCCUAUCUGUUAUGGCUAAACUAAUGUUGCUGUUAGAUUACCGAGGGUUAUCUGAGUUAUUUGGACUUUGAGUUAACAUUCCAUUUAAUCAUUCUGUUAAGAAUCUGAGUUAUUCAGAUAAUGCUUUGCUUUUAAGUAAAUACAUAUUUUUGUAAUUCA